GUAGCGUUACUGGUAUGCAAAAAGCAUACCCUAUAUAUAACCAUGCAACAUCGUCCUAAAAUCGCUUCUUCAAUUACUCUCUGGUCUCCACGCUUCACAAAUCAAAUGCAGAAUUUUGUUAAAAAGGCUUAGUGGCAAGACUAUUACUACUGUAUUUUCUCUCGAGGUCGAAAAUUCUGUACGACGGAUAAUGCUAAGGCUAAGAUCCAGGAAAAGGAGGGGAUCCCUCAGGAUCAGCAGAGGUUGACCUUUGAUGGAAAACAGCUGGAGGAUCGAUGAAUCUUCGCUUGAUUAUAAGAUUGAGAAGAUAUCGACUCUGCAUUUUGGGUUCUUCGGCUUGGAAGAGGAUGCAGAUCUUUGUUAUUGAGACUCUGACAGGCAAGACUAUUACUCUCGAGGUUGAGAGCUCGGACAUAAUUGAUAAUGUUAAGGAUAAGGAAAGGGUUCCCUGGACUAGCAGAGGCUGAUAUUUGCUGCUAAUCAGGUUGAGGAUGGUCAUACUUUGGCGGAUUAUAAUAUCCAGAAGAAAUCUACUCUUCCUUCUUCGACUCCUUGGUGGAAUGCAAAUUUUUGUGAAAACCCUUACUGGUGGGACCAUUGUGUUGGAGGUUGAGAGCUCCGAUACUAUCAAUAAUGUCAAGGCUCAGAUACAAGAUAAGGGUGAUAUUUGCAGACAAGCAGCUUGAGGAUGGUCAUAUAGUAGCGGAUUUCAACAUCCAAAAGGAGUCAACACUUUACUUGAUUCUUCAUCUUCGUGGUGGAAUGCAAAUUUCUGUGAAGACAAUUAAUGGAAAGACGAUUACACUUGAGGUAAAGAGCUCAGAUACCAUUGAUAAUGUGAAGGCAAAGAUUCAGGACAAGGAGGGGAGAUCUCCAAAUCAGCAAAGGCUUAUUUUUGCUGGGAAGCAGUUGGAGGAUGGAAGAACUUUGGCAGACUAUAAUAUCCAGAAGGAGUCUACUCUUCACCUCGUCCUCCGUCUCCGUGGUGGUUUAUCAAGUUUGAGUUCAGCGUCUUGAUCUCUGGUCUGUAUAAACAACUGUUCAAUCUUUCUGUUGUUUUCUCCUUUUGUCAAGUGAACUAAUAUUUGCAUGACAAUGAUUAUAUUUGGUUUUAAUGGAGUGUACUACAACUUUUCUAAGUGAUAAAUCUAUGUUCAGUUAGAUCACUAGCUGAUAUAUAUUAAAUAAGCAGCAAUCAUCUGUUGUCUACAUAAUUUCUUCAUUAUGCAGAAUGAGUUUUUAUUAAUCUAAAUACUUCUGUUCUUACAGUUAAACAAUUAGGGUACUGAAAUUUCUCAAUUCUCACACCUUUGUGUUAUUCUUAGUUCAUUAUGUUCUGCAUGACUAAACAGAGUUGAAAGCUAAUAUCGGGAUUGUACUUGUCAAAUUUGUUAAUCCUCUUGACUAGUAGAUGGUUUUUUGUCCUUCAGUCACAUGUAUUGUCGAAAAUAAUGUUGAUGCAGAGAUUUGUGGAUUGCAUUUUAGAUAUCUUGCCUAGAAGGCUUGAAGGUGUGUUCACCUGUUCUAUCAGUUAAUGUUUCUUGAUAGAAGUUUUUGUAUAUAAUAACUUUGUCUGAAGAAAAUCUCUUACUAUGGUUAAUUUCAUUGUGUUUUGUUUGUAAUUUUGCAGAUUUAAAGUACAGAAGGCAUUUAGUUCUUUGUUUCAAAAGAUACAGAUGGGCAUAUAAUGUUCUGGGGAAGGAAACAUGCAUUUGAAUGAACAGCGAAAGAACAAGCAUAUUUUAACACAAGGAAUAGAAGGUGAUGUCCAGGUGGAUUUAACACUUCAGCACUUGUUUAUGAUUAUAAGAAAUUCUAGUAGAUUAGUAGAUCGUCUGUAAUAACGAUUCACUUCCAUAAAUAAUGAGUUUGCAUGAACAACUUAUCAAAGUGUAAACAAUCUGACUACCCAGUCA